UACAGAGGUCUCAAGCGUUGUUCGGAUUCAUUGGGCGUAAAGGGUGCGCAGGUGGUGCUGUAAGUCAGGUGUGAAAUCUCGGGGCUCAACCCCGAAACUGCACUUGAUACUGCAGUGCUCGAGGACUGGAGAGGAGAUUGGAAUUCAUGGUGUAGCAGUGAAAUGCGUAGAUAUCAUGAGGAAGACCAGUGGCGAAGGCGGAUCUCUGGACAGUUCCUGACACUGAGGCACGAAGGCCAGGGGAGCAAACGGG
rnacentral:rRNA from 1 species